ACAUCUCAACUCCUCACGGUUUGCCCGUGAUGAGCUUGGACUUUGGGGGCCUUGCUGGCCUGAGGGUCAGCUCCUCUCAAAUUAAUCAGCUUGCCAGUGUUUGGUGGCAUCGCAGGUGUGAUAACUAUCUACGCUUGUGGUUUUCCACCAGGUAACCUCCAGCAACGGGGGUUCACUGGAGCUCACAAAUGUCUCUCCUCAGUGAGGACAGCUCUUUGAAC
rnacentral:misc_RNA from 1 species